rnacentral:rRNA from 1 species
CAUUAUACGGCGAAACUGCGAAUGGCUCAUUAAAUCAGUUAUCGUUUAUUUGAUAGCCCCUUACUACUUGGAUAACCGUGGUAAUUCUAGAGCUAAUACAUGCUGAAAACCCCGACUUCGGAAGGGAUGUAUUUAUUAGAUUAAAAACCAAUGCCCCUCGGGGCUCACUGGUGAUUCAUGAUAACUUCUCGAAUCGCACGGCCUUGCGCCGGCGAUGGCUCAUUCAAAUUUCUGCCCUAUCAACUUUCGACGGCUGGAUCUGGGCCCGCCAUGGUGACAACGGGUAACGGAGGGUUAGGGCUCGGCCCCGGAGAAGGAGCCUGAGAAACGGCUACUACAUCCAAGGAAGGCAGCAGGCGCGCAAAUUACCCAAUCCCGACUCGGGGAGGUAGUGACAAUAAAUACUGAUACAGGGCUCUUUUGGGUCUUGUAAUUGGAAUGAGUACAAUUUAAUUCCCUUAACGAGGAACAAUUGGAGGGCAAGUCUGGUGCCAGCAGCCGCGGUAAUUCCAGCUCCAAUAGCGUAUAUUAAAGUUGUUGCAGUUAAAAAGCUCGUAGUUGAACCUUGGGCCUGGCUGGCCGGUCCGCCUCACCGCGUGCACUGGUCCGGCCGGGUCUUUCCCUCUGGGGAGCCGCAUGCCCUUCACUGGGCGUGUCGGGGAACCAGGACAUUUACUUUGAAAAAAUUAGAGUGUUCAAAGCAGGCUUAUGCUCGAAUACAUUAGCAUGGAAUAAUAGAAUAGGACGCGCGGUUCUAUUUUGUUGGUUUCUAGGACCGCCGUAAUGAUUAAUAGGGACAGUCGGGGGCAUCAGUAUUCAAUAGUCAGAGGUGAAAUUCUUGGAUCUAUUGAAGACUAACUACUGCGAAAGCAUUUGCCAAGGAUGUUUUCAUUAAUCAGGAACGAAAGUUAGGGGAUCGAAGACGAUCAGAUACCGUCGUAGUCUUAACCAUAAACUAUGCCGACUAGGGAUCGGACGAUGUUAUUUUUUGACUCGUUCGGCACCUUACACGAAAGUACAAGUU